CUUGUCCUCAUUUGGAAGUCGCUUUGGAUAAAAGCGUCUGCUAAAUGACUAAAU
rfam:Danio rerio chromosome 11, GRCz11 reference primary assembly.